rnacentral:rRNA from 1 species
CAGUCGCCACGGUAAUACGAAGGGUGCAAGCGUUACUCGGAAUUACUGGGCGUAAAGCGUGCGUAGGUGGUGGUUUAAGUCCGUUGUGAAAGCCCUGGGCUCAACCUGGGAAUUGCAGUGGAUACUGGGUCACUAGAGUGUGGUAGAGGAUAGUGGAAUUUCCGGUGUAGCAGUGAAAUGCGUAGAUAUGCGGAGGAACACCGAUGGCGAAGGCAAUCCCCUGGGCCUGCACUGACGCUCAUGCACGAAAGCGUGGGGAGCAAACAGGAUUAGAUACCCCCGUAGUCCCUGUCUCUUAUAC